AUAUGGAGGGGGCUAGCGUUGUUCGGAAUUACUGGGCGUAAAGCGCGUGUAGGCGGAUCGUUAAGUCAGGGGUGAAAGCCCGGAGCUCAACUCCGGAAUUGCCCUUGAUACUGGCGAUCUAGAGGCCGGGAGAGGUGAGCGGAAUUCCCAGUGUAGAGGUGAAAUUCGUAGAUAUUGGGAGGAACACCAGUGGCGAAGGCGGCUCACUGGCCCGGUUCUGACGCUGAGACGCGAAAGCGUGGGGAGCAAACAGGAUUAGAUACCCUAGUAGUCC
rnacentral:rRNA from 1 species